rnacentral:rRNA from 1 species
UGGUGGGUAGUUUGACUGGGGCGGUCUCCUCCUAAAGAGUAACGGAGGAGCACGAAGGUUGGCUAAUCCUGGUCGGACAUCAGGAGGUUAGUGCAAUGGCAUAAGCCAGCUUGACUGCGAGCGUGACGGCGCGAGCAGGUGCGAAAGCAGGUCAUAGUGAUCCGGUGGUUCUGAAUGGAAGGGCCAUCGCUCAACGGAUAAAAGGUACUCCGGGGAUAACAGGCUGAUACCGCCCAAGAGUUCAUAUCGACGGCGGUGUUUGGCACCUCGAUGUCGGCUCAUCACAUCCUGGGGCUGAAGUAGGUCCCAAGGGUAUGGCUGUUCGCCAUUUAAAGUGGUACGCGAGCUGGGUUUAGAACGUCGUGAGACAGUUCGGUCCCUAUCUGCCGUGGGCGCUGGAGAACUGAGGGGGGCUGCUCCUAGUACGAGAGGACCGGAGUGGACGCAUCACUGGUGUUCGGGUUGUCAUGCCAAUGGCACUGCCUGG